AAUGCGAGGGAUUGCUAUUGUUAGUCAUGCAGUGAAAACAAAAACCUAAGAUCUGUGAGGCAGAUAAAGCCAGAUCAAAGGGACCUACAGAAUUGGAUCAGUGGCAUGGAUGGCAUGGUAUCAUCACAGGAGAUGGCUGAGGACUUAACUGGUACUGAGAUAUUGAUAGAGCGACACCAGGAACAUCAUGCUGACAUGGAGGCUGAGGCUCCGACCUUCCAGGCCUUAGAAGACUUUGGUGCAGAUCUUAUAGGCAGCGGGCACCGAGACAGUCCUGAAAUUGAAAAAAAGCUUCAAGCUGUCAGACAAGAGAGAGAGGAUUUGGAGAAAGCUUGGGAGCAACGCGAGAAGAUGCUAAAUCAGUGUCUAGAGUAUCAGGUACAGCAAAUCUACAGUCAUUGAGCACAUUGGCCUCUGCCUGUUCCUUCUGUGCAGUUUUAUCUGGUUAAGUACGGGUGCUCAUUUCACUGGUCUUCCCAUGCUGAAAGCACCAGGGUAUCUCUUGGUUACCUGACACUGUAUCCUCUGCUUUGUAGACUGAUCACUGUUGUGUUCAUGGCCUUUAUUCCUGUUGAAAGAGUCAAACAAAAUGGGGGCCAUUUCUCAGCAUGAAGUGGGGUGAUUAUAAUUUAUGUAUUCAUUGACCUUUUGAUUUAUUGAUUUUUAUUGAGAGCCUACUGUGUGCACAGCCGUGGCAACAUAAAGUUUAGUAAGGUAGCAUCCCUUUUCUUAAGGAGUGAAAUUAGACAUGUAGACAGAUCAUUCUAGUACUUGUUAAUGAAACAAAACAUAUGAAUGUUUUGAGGUUAAAGAAGAGGAAGUGAUUAACACUUUUGAGGGAAAAGAGUGAGUAUUCCAGGCUACCCUGAAGGAGAAUGUUCACCCACUUUAAAUAACCAGCCAGUAUUCAUCAGGGAUAGAUGUGGGAAAUAGCACCCCAAGAAUGAAGGAUAGCUUAUGUAAAAACAUAAAUGUGUUACAGGGAAAUGUAAGAGGUUCAGUACAGUGGUCCCCCAUUUGUUUGUGGGAGGUAAGUUCCAAGACUCUUCUAGGAGAGAUUCGGGAUACCUAAAACCACAGACAGUACUGAACCCUAGAUAUACAAUCUUUUUUUCCUGUACAUAUAUACCUAUGGUAAAGUUUUCAAAUUAAUAUA